rnacentral:rRNA from 1 species
GUAGGUGGCAAGCGUUGUCCGGAUUUAUUGGGUUUAAAGGGUGCGUAGGCGGUCUUGUAAGUCAGUGGUGAAAUACGGCAGCUUAACUGUCGAGGUGCCAUUGAUACUGCAGGACUUGAGUACAGACGAGGUAGGCGGAAUUGACGGUGUAGCGGUGAAAUGCUUAGAUAUCGUCAAGAACACCGAUAGCGAAGGCAGCUUACUAGACUGUAACUGACGCUGAUGCACGAAAGUGUGGGGAUCAAACAGGAUUAGAUACCCUGGUAGUCCACACUGUAAACGAUGAUUACUCGAUGUUGGCGAUACACAGCCAGCGUCUUAGCGAAAGCGAUAAGUAAUCCACCUGGGGAGUACGCCGGCAACGGUG